GACUCUCGGCAACGGAUAUCUCGGCUCUCGCAUCGAUGAAGAACGUAGCGAAAUGCGAUACCUGGUGUGAAUUGCAGAAUCCCGCGAACCAUCGAGUCUUUGAACGCAAGUUGCGCCCGAGGCCUCUUGGCUGAGGGCACGCCUGCCUGGGCGUCACACCAAAU
rnacentral:rRNA from 1 species